CCUACGGGAGGCAGCAGUGGGGGAUAUUGCGCAAUGGGGGAAACCCUGACGCAGCAACGCCCGCGUGGAGGAUGACGGUUUUCGGAUUUGUAAACUCCCUUUUAUGGGGGACGAACUAAGACGGUACCCCCAUGAAUAAGCUCCCGGCUAACUACGUGCCAGCAGCCGCGGUAAUACGUAGGGAGCAAGCGUUGUCCGGAUUUACUGGGUGUAAAGGGUGCGUAGGCGGCUUGGUAAGUCAGGUGUGAAAUGUAGAGGCUCAACCCCUGAACUGCACUUGAAACUAUCGAGCUUGAGUGAUGUAGAGGCAGGCGGAAUUCCCUGUGUAGCGGUGAAAUGCGUAGAGAUAGGGAGGAACACCAGUGGGCGAAGGCGGCUGCUGGGCAUUAACUGACGCUGAGGCACGAAAGCGUGGGUAGCAAACAGGAUUAGAUACCCUGGUAGUCCACGCUGUAAAACGAUGAUUACUAGGUGUGGGUGGACUGACCCCCAUCCGUGCCGCAGUUAACACAAUAAGUAAUCCACCUGGGGAGUACGGCCACAAGGUUGAAACUCAAAGGAAUUGACGGGGGCCCGCACAAGCAGUGGAGUAUGUGGUUUAAUUCGAAGCAACGCGAAGAACCUUACCAGGUCUUGACAUCGAGUGACGUACUUAGAGAUAAGUAUUUCCUUCGGGACACGAAGACAGGUGGUGCAUGGUUGUCGUCAGCUCGUGUCGUGAGAUGUUGGGUUAAGUCCCGCAACGAGCGCAACCCUUGCUAUUAGUUGCUACGCAAGAGCACUCUAAUAGGACUGCCGUUGACAAAACGGAGGAAGGUGGGGACGACGUCAAAUCAUCAUGCCCCUUAUGACCUGGGCUACACACGUACUACAAUGGCCGUAAACAGAGGGACGCAAUAUGGCGACAUGGAGCAAACCCCUAAAAGCGGUCUCAGUUCAGAUUGCAGGCUGCAACCCGCCUGCAUGAAGUCGGAAUUGCUAGUAAUCGCGGAUCAGCAUGCCGCGGUGAAUACGUUCCCGGGCCUUGUACACACCGCCCGUCACACCAUGGGAGCCGGUAAUACCCGAAGUCAGUAGUUCAACCGCAAGGAGAGCGCUGCCGAAGGUAGGAUUGGCGACUGGG
rnacentral:rRNA from 1 species